AAGAUUAAAAUUAAUAAUUUAAAAUUAUUAAAAAAAUUUUUAAUUAAAAAUUGAGGUUAUAGUAUGGUUUAUAGAAAAAAUAUUUAAAUUUAUAGAAUAAUAGUAUUGUUAAAGAAUUUUGAAAUAUAAAUGAAAAUUAAUUUAUAAUAAAGUAAAUUUUAUUUAUUGUAUCUUGUGUAUCAGAGUUUAUUAAUAAAAAUUUUUAUAAAAAAAUUUCUCGAAUUAAAAAGAGUUAUUAAAUUAAAAAAUUUAUUGUUUCAUAAAUAUUUUAAAUAAUUUAAUUGAAAUGAAAUGUUAAUCGUUUUUUAAGAUAUCUAGUUUUUUCAGAAAAAAAUUUAAUUUUUAAUUUUAAAAAUUAAAUAAUUUUUUAUUUAAUUAUUUGAUUUAUUAUUGUAAUAUUUUAAGGGAUAAGCUUUAAAAUAAAAAUUUAUAAGAUAAAAUAAUAUUUUUAAGAUUUUUAUAAUUUAUAUUGUUUAAUAAAUUUUAAUUUAUUAUAAAUAAUUUUAUUAAAAAAAAAAAUUUAAUUUAUAUUUCUUUAAUUUUUUUAUGGAAGAAUAAUAAUUAAUAAUAUAUUUUUAGAUAUAAUGAUAAAAUUAGUAUAUAAUAAAUAAUUAUAAUAUAAAUAAUUAUUAAAUAUAGUUAAAAAUAAUUCGGCAAAUAUAUAUGAAUUAUAUUCACCUGUUUAUCAAAAACAUGUCUUUUUGUAAAUAAUUUAAAGUCUAAUCUGCCCACUGAUAUUUAUUAAAGGGCUGCAGUAUUUUGACUGUACAAAGGUAGCAUAAUCAUUAGUCUCUUAAUUGGUGACUUGUAUGAAUGAUUGGAUGAAAUAUAAUCUGUUUCUUAAUUAUUAUUAGAAUUUAAUUUUUUUAUUAAAAAGUAAAAAUAAAUUUAAAAGACGAGAAGACCCCAUAGAGUUUUAUAAAUGGGAUAAUUUAAUUUUUAUUUUUAGAAUUUAAUUUAAAUUAUUUUAUUUAUUUUAUUGGGGUGAUAAAAAAAUUUAAUAAACUUUUUUUACAAAUUUUCCAUUGAUAAAUGAGUAAAUGAUCCAUUUUUAAUGAUUAUAAGAAAAAAUUACCUUGGGGAUAACAGCGUAAUUUUUUUUUUUAGUUCAAAUAAGAAAAAGAGUUUGCGACCUCGAUGUUGGAUUAAGAUAAAAUUUAAAUGCAAAAGUUUAAAAUUUUGAUCUGUUCGAUCAUUAAAAUCUUACAUGAUCUGAGUUCAAACCGGUGUAAGCCAGGUUGGUUUCUAUCUUUAAUAAAAUUAAAUAUUUUAGUACGAAAGGAUUAAAUAUUUAAAAUAUUUUUUAUUAUAAGAAUAUUAUUAAAUUUUAUUAUAAAUUUAUAAUAAAUAAAUUUAUAAAU
rnacentral:rRNA from 1 species